rnacentral:rRNA from 1 species
AGUGAACGCUGGCGGUAGGCCUAACACAUGCAAGUCGAACGGAAACACAGUAAGAGCUUGCUCCUACGGGUGGCGAGUGGCGGACGGGUGAGGAAUACAUCGGAAUCUACUUUUUCGUGGGGGAUAACGUAGGGAAACUUACGCUAAUACCGCAUACGACCUACGGGUGAAAGCAGGGGAUAUUCGGACCUUGCGCGUUUGAAUGAGCCGAUGUCGGAUUAGCUAGUUGGCGGGGUAACGGCUCACCAAGGCGACGAUCCGUAGCUGACCUGAGAGGAUGAUCGGCCCCACUGGAACUGAGACACGGUCCAGACUCCUACGGGAGGCAGCAGUAGGGCAUCUUCCGCAAUGGGCGAAAGCGUGACGGAGCAACGCCGCGUGAGUGAUGAAGGUCUUCGGAUCGUAAAACUCUGUUAUUAGGGAAGAACAAAUGUGUAAGUAACUAUGCACGUCUUGACGGUACCUAAUCAGAAAGCCACGGCUAACUACGUG